rfam:Clostridiales bacterium S5-A11 contig065, whole genome shotgun sequence.
GAACGCCGUGUGCGGUGAAAGCCGCACGCACGGUGUGGAGCGGGGGAAAAUCCUGAGAUAAUUUCAAGGGAUUACCUAUCGCUAU